AUGACACUCAGAAUGGCAUCCAAAAAAAGAAGUGGCAUUCUCUUUCUUGUGAGCUGUCACAGUGCGGUAAGCCUCCCUGGCUCUGUAAUCCUAAUUAAUGUUCGUUGUCUUCACUGCGUUUGGUGUGAAAAAUGUGGAGCGGGAACACUCUUGAGUGGGAAUCAGGCUCUCAAGAGGCUGCCGUUUCAGAAGGUAGACGUCAUGUUUCAGACCUCCAACCAUCUAUGCUGUCACAGUCAUGACGAACAGAAGGCACUGAGACUCCCAGGACCAACUAUCAACCAUCAUCUUCGUUGCCUUUGUGACAGCUGCUCUGAGGUCCUUGUAAAUUUGCCCCUUUGACUUCAUUCUGAUUCUGUGUCCAGAGUUUAAUGGGGGGUGGGGGGGGGAACUUCUCUCAAGCCUCAAACCCUAUGUUCAUCAGUGAAAGGGAUUCCAGGGGCAAACUAUCCGAGAUAGCUUCCAAUCUUUUCCAUUCUUACUCUUAAUCCAAGAAGAGGUUUUAUCUGAGCAUGAUAGAAAUGAUUUGGGGCGCCUGGGUGGCUUAGUCGGUUAGGUGUCCGGCUUCAGCUCAGGUCAUGAUCUUGCAGUCCGUGAGUUCGAGCCCCGCGAUGGGCUUUGUGCUGACAGCUCAGAGCCUGGAGCCUGCUUCAGAUUCUCUGUCUCCCUCUCUCUCUGCCCCUCCCCUGCUCACGCUGUGUGUGUGUCUCUCUCUCAAAAAUAAAUAAACAUUAAAAAUAUAUAUAUAUAUUAAU
rnacentral:lncRNA from 1 species